rnacentral:rRNA from 1 species
UACGUAGGGGGCAAGCGUUGUCCGGAAUCAUUGGGCGUAAAGAGCGUGUAGGCGGCCUUAUAAGUCGGCUGUGAAAGUCAAGGGCUCAACCCUUGAAUGCCGGCCGAUACUGUGAGGCUAGAGUCCGGAAGAGGCGAGUGGAAUUCCUGGUGUAGCGGUGAAAUGCGCAGAUAUCAGGAGGAACACCGAUGGCGAAGGCAGCUCGCUGGGACGGUAUUGACGCUGAGACGCGAAAGCGUGGGUAGCAAACAGG